UACGGAGGGUGCGAGCGUUGUUCGGAAUCACUGGGCGUAAAGCGCGUGUAGGCGGCUUCCUAAGUCUGAUGUGAAAGCCCGGGGCUUACCCCCGGAAGUGCAUUGGAAACUGGAAGGCUAGAGUACCGGAGAGGAGGGUGGAAUUCCUGGUGUAGCGGUGAAAUGCGUAGAUAUCGGGAGGAACACCGGUGGCGAAGGCGGCGACCUGGGUCGAGACUGACGCUGAGGCGCGAAAGCGUGGGGAGCAAACAGGAUUAGAAACC
rnacentral:rRNA from 1 species